rnacentral:ncRNA from 1 species
AAUACCGCAAGGUCUUGUGGGGAGGAAAACUUCGAGCUGACGAACAGAAACAUCGUAUAGGGCUUAGCUGUAGGCGAGGUAGGCAAGGACACUGAAGCCGGAAGAUCUAACGGGUAGAGUAAAUGAUGCACUUCAAAGCUGAAU